rnacentral:rRNA from 1 species
UACGUAGGGACCGAGCGUUGUCCGGAUUCAUUGGGCGUAAAGAGCUCGUAGGCGGCUGUUCAAGUCGAACGUGAAAACUCGGAGCUCAACUCCGGAGCCUGCGUUCGAUACUGGACGGCUAGAGUCUGGUAGGGGGAUCUGGAAUUCCUGGUGUAGCGGUGGAAUGCGCAGAUAUCAGGAGGAACACCAAUAGCGAAGGCAGCUCGCUGGGACGUUACUGACACUGAGGCGCGAAAGCCGUGGGGAGCGAACAGG